rnacentral:lncRNA from 1 species
AGCUCUCAGCUGCAGGGCCCAGGGUGGCCCCUGGCAUCCCACGGGGAACCCCAGGAGGUGGCACUGAGCUGUCACUGUCACUCCCAUGCCCACCCUCCCGUGCCCAGUGCCUACCUUGCAGGGUGCUGCUCGAGCAUCGCUCCCCAAGUGCCACGGUGCUCAGACUCAAGGGGCUGCACCAGGUGCCAGGAUGCCACCAUGGCCUGAUGCUGCGAGUGUCCCCUCCCAGUGAGCCAGCAGGUCCAGCACAGCAGUGGUGACAGUGUCCCACCUGGGCGCUCGCAGUGGCUCAGGAGUACUGGCAAUCCCACAGGCUCCCACGUGCCCUGAUGGCAGGUCCCCCCUCGGGGUCAGCAUCUGUCGGAGGGGAUGAGGUGCGUGGCAGGGCUGGCAUGGAGGAGAGGACAGUCCGGCCAGGGAGGUGGCGAGGCACGGUGGCACGGCACGGCAUCACUCGGCGCUGGCACGUUCCCGCAGUGCAGGCAGUGUCAGGGUCUCCGGCGCUGACUUCUUGCGGGGCCGAGCUUUGGGGGGGGCGAGGAAGUCGGGAGCAUCGUCGCUGAGAGGGGUGGAGGGGGCACUGGCAGGGGCCGAGUGCGUGGCUGUGGGCUGCCCCACCUCGCUGACCGAAAUGGUGGGGGCCACCAGGCCGAUGAUCUCGUUGGUGGCCUCCUGGGUCUCCCGCUCGUACCGCCGCACCUCCUCCAUCGUCAUGCCGCACCACUCGUCCACCCAGGUGAAGGCUUGCCG